GGUUGUGUAGUGUAGUGGUCAUCACUUUCGGUUUUGAGCGCUUCUUGGGCGACAACUUCCGAAUAACCCCGGUUCGAACCCGGGCACGACCU
rfam:Saitoella complicata NRRL Y-17804 DNA, contig: contig023, whole genome shotgun sequence.